rnacentral:rRNA from 2 species
GACGAACGCUGGCGGCGUGCCUAAUACAUGCAAGUCGAGCGGACAGAAGGGAGCUUGCUCCCGGAUGUUAGCGGCGGACGGGUGAGUAACACGUGGGUAACCUGCCUGUAAGACUGGGAUAACUCCGGGAAACCGGAGCUAAUACCGGAUAGUUCCUUGAACCGCAUGGUUCAAGGAUGAAAGACGGUUUCGGCUGUCACUUACAGAUGGACCCGCGGCGCAUUAGCUAGUUGGUGGGGUAAUGGCUCACCAAGGCGACGAUGCGUAGCCGACCUGAGAGGGUGAUCGGCCACACUGGGACUGAGACACGGCCCAGACUCCUACGGGAGGCAGCAGUAGGGAAUCUUCCGCAAUGGACGAAAGUCUGACGGAGCAACGCCGCGUGAGUGAUGAAGGUUUUCGGAUCGUAAAGCUCUGUUGUUAGGGAAGAACAAGUGCGAGAGUAACUGCUCGCACCUUGACGGUACCUAACCAGAAAGCCACGGCUAACUACGUGCCAGCAGCCGCGGUAAUACGUAGGUGGCAAGCGUUGUCCGGAAUUAUUGGGCGUAAAGGGCUCGCAGGCGGUUUCUUAAGUCUGAUGUGAAAGCCCCCGGCUCAACCGGGGAGGGUCAUUGGAAACUGGGAAACUUGAGUGCAGAAGAGGAGAGUGGAAUUCCACGUGUAGCGGUGAAAUGCGUAGAGAUGUGGAGGAACACCAGUGGCGAAGGCGACUCUCUGGUCUGUAACUGACGCUGAGGAGCGAAAGCGUGGGGAGCGAACAGGAUUAGAUACCCUGGUAGUCCACGCCGUAAACGAUGAGUGCUAAGUGUUAGGGGGUUUCCGCCCCUUAGUGCUGCAGCUAACGCAUUAAGCACUCCGCCUGGGGAGUACGGUCGCAAGACUGAAACUCAAAGGAAUUGACGGGGGCCCGCACAAGCGGUGGAGCAUGUGGUUUAAUUCGAAGCGACGCGAAGAACCUUACCAGGUCUUGACAUCCUCUGACAACCCUAGAGAUAGGGCUUUCCCUUCGGGGACAGAGUGACAGGUGGUGCAUGGUUGUCGUCAGCUCGUGUCGUGAGAUGUUGGGUUAAGUCCCGCAACGAGCGCAACCCUUGAUCUUAGUUGCCAGCAUUUAGUUGGGCACUCUAAGGUGACUGCCGGUGACAAACCGGAGGAAGGUGGGGAUGACGUCAAAUCAUCAUGCCCCUUAUGACCUGGGCUACACACGUGCUACAAUGGACAGAACAAAGGGCUGCGAGACCGCAAGGUUUAGCCAAUCCCAUAAAUCUGUUCUCAGUUCGGAUCGCAGUCUGCAACUCGACUGCGUGAAGCUGGAAUCGCUAGUAAUCGCGGAUCAGCAUGCCGCGGUGAAUACGUUCCCGGGCCUUGUACACACCGCCCGUCACACCACGAGAGUUUGCAACACCCGAAGUCGGUGAGGUAACCUUUAUGGAGCCAGCCGCCGAAGGUGGGGCAGAUGAUUGGGGUG